AAUGCGGAUAAUAAUAUAGCCUUGCGAAGUUUGCCGUUUUUCAGUCAUUUUGUAUUACAAACGGGAAAUUGACAUACGAUUCGGGUGUUGGGACUGCAAUUUCCCGUUUGUAAUGCAAAAUGACUGAAAAACGGCAAACUUCGCAAGGCUAUAUUAUCCUCAUUUUACA